rnacentral:rRNA from 1 species
AGAUUGAACGCUAGCGGGAUGCUUUACACAUGCAAGUCGAACGGCAGCGCGGACUUCGGUCUGGCGGCGAGUGGCGAACGGGUGAGUAAUAUAUCGGAACGUGCCCAGUAGCGGGGGAUAACUACGCGAAAGCGUGGCUAAUACCGCAUACGCCCUACGGGGGAAAGGGGGGAUUCUUCGGAACCUCUCACUAUUGGAGCGGCCGAUAUCAGAUUAGCUAGUUGGUGAGGUAAAGGCUCACCAAGGCGACGAUCUGUAGCUGGUUUGAGAGGACGACCAGCCACACUGGGACUGAGACACGGCCCAGACUCCUACGGGAGCAGCAGUGGGAAUUUGGACAAGUGGGGGAAACCCUGAUCCAGCCAUCCCGCGUGUGCGAGUGAA